CCUGGCUGACCCAGGCUUCAGCUCCACUUCUAGACGCCUGGGGUUCAGUCUGUGUUAGAACCUGUUAUAGUUUGCAUCCUGAUGUAUCUAGUAGGAGUUCCGUUAAGCUGACCAUGCUUGUAUUUAUCCCUCGUCUUAUGCAACUAAUCAAAUCAACCAAAAAAAGGAAAAAAAAAAAAAAAAAAGAAACGAAAAAAGAACCAUCACCAUGAGAUCCUGUAUUUGUCUUUUUUUACUACACGUAUGACCUCCCCCGUGAGUGAGUACUGUAGUCCUCCAUCUCAAGGCAGCCUUACUUCAGACACAUUUCAAACUGGUGCAAACAGAAAAGACUUCUCUCUUUUCUUCUGAGGCUAAAGACAAGAAUGUCACGCUAUACAGGUGCAACUCAAUCCUUGAAAACAGAAACCAAUGCAGACAGAGACAUUUUACCCCUUGAUGUAGCUGUGAGUCCCAACCUAGUGCCAUUGUUUUUAUUUUUAUUUUUAUUUUUGGAAAUGGCUUUAGAACUUUCCAAGUUAUCCUUGAAUUGUCUGACCACGGACAUCAACAGCUGCCUCCCUUCUACCAUGUAGAAUCCUAUGACUUAACUUUUCUUCCAGAUAUAGAGGGGUACCUGCCUGUUUUUCAAAGUGUUUAUUUACUGCUGUUACUAUUUGAUUAGAAUGUAUCAAAUAAAAACAAACCUGACUUUUACAAGUUGCACUCAUUACUUUGAGUUGUAGGUGUACAUUUCCAUGCUAAUAAAAGGUCGCCAUAAAAACUCAUUAUCAAGUGAAAUAAACUAAGCAAUCAGCUCAGGGUAGAACAUUAACUCGCUUGCCUCCAAAUAAGGCCCACACCUGCUCUAUGUGUUUUAGAAAGCAUGGUUCACAGGCUAGGAAUCGUCAAGACAGCCUGAUCAUGUGCAGGCCGGAUGGGCACAAUCCUUGUGCAUUUCAAAAGCAAUGGUUUAGAAGCGAUAAAAGUUACGUCAGGGUCUAAACUCUAACAAGUUCCGCAGCCGCUUUCUCUUGGCCACCCAGUCUCACGACUGCUGUAGCAUGCCAUCUUCUCUAGAGUCUAGACACUAUGCCUCUUGCCGCCCUGUACAUGUUUCCUGGCCGGGCCGUAGGUUCCUGUGUGUCCAGGGUGAAAGGAGAACCUGGGGCGUCAUGUGCACGCUCUAAGUGAAUAGGAAAUUAUAAAAGUGCAGAAUAAUAGAACUGACUUACCUUGCAGGGUUUGAAGUCCCCAGUUUUACACCAGGAAGGAAACAUUAAGUUUAUCCAACCUGGAUGGAUUGCUGGGUGUGGCUUGGGAAGAGCCUGCUUCGCUCUGCUGGGUGGUGGGGCAAUACUAGGCUUCCCGCUAGGAUACUUAGAUCUCCCUUUUGCACACUGAUGAUGAUGGUUCUCUGGUAGAACGCUUGGGCUAGCAAGGGGCUUUGUGGAAUCCUUUUCAGGUCUCCCUGCUGUUCCUCAGGUAUUGGGAGUGAGGAGGCAGUCAGAAGACCCUGUGCCUGUGGAGUUAUGACAAGCUCCCGAGUGUUGCGUUCAGCGCCUGCAGGUGUGUGUGUAUUGGGAGCCCAGAUUCACUGCUUGGGGCUGUGAUAUGGAUCACCUUAUCUAACUCUAGUCCUGAUGGCAAGGAAGUUGAUAGGCAUCAGGGGACAGUUUUGUUUUGUUUUUGUUUUCUUGCUUUAUAGUUUUUAAUAUAUUUACUGAGUUCCUUGUGUGCCAGCCUCUGACUCAAUACUUCAUAAUAUCUCAUUUGAUCCUCGGAAGGACCAAAAGAGCAAAGUCCAGGAUUUAUGGGAAGUGAAUAGUUCCACACUGAUCCAGUUAACAAGUUAGAGCAGGCUGUAAUAGCAGUCUUUUUGCUGCGGCCUCAACCAGACUAGUGCAGAUACUGUAAUUAGUGUUGCGUCCUCUCUCGCUUUAAAAACAUUUUCAAGAAGUGGUUUCUUGGUGCAUGUGUGUAUGUGUAUGCAUGUGCCAUGUCAUAUAUGUGGGAGGUGUGGCACAGCUUCUCCGUUCUUGCCUCUCGCUGCGUGGGCUCCAGGGAUUGGACCUCAGUCUUUACCGACAAGCACCCUUACCCAUUGAGACAUCUUGUCAGCCCUCCAGUCAGUCUGGCCAAUGGCUUUUUUUUUUUUGAAGAUCCCUGAAAUAAGUGGUAAAGUGGGGGUGGGGAGGGAGUUUGUCCCCUUCCUGGGUGACUACUAAAUGAUGCCAGGUAUCACUGACUGUCCCAUCUAACAACAGAAACAAAACUGGAUUCACCCAAGGUGUCCUCAACAGAGGCUGGAAAAUUUCUCUUUCACUGUUGUUUUUCUAUGGGGGGUGGUGUGAAGCAUUAGUAAGGACAUUUAUUAUUGAGAUUCUAAUUGUUGCUGUUCUUGUGGCCUGUCCUGUGCUCUGUCGCAGGAUUUGUGUAUCCACCCCCGACUUCAGUGACUGCUAUGAGUUUCUGUUCAGAGGACGCAGAGGUGAAGGAGCGUAUGUCAUCCCAUCUAAAGUUACCAACACAGAUAACAGAUGUAAUGACAUCUGCUUUCUUUUUAGAAACAGGGACCCCCAGUUUGUGUGCGCUUGGAGGUCUUGCUUAGUGUUAUUAGUAUGAAGGUUUUGACUUCAUCGUAAUUACAUCAUUCAAAUAGGUGACAGAAAGGGACUGUUGGUUGUUCCACACGGUUUAUUUUCUUGGGAAGCCUUUCUUUCCCCUGCUUUUAGAAAAUUGUACCCUGCUUGGCGGAGGGUAGGAGACAGACACGUCAUCAAGUAAUCCAAGGGAUGGAAUGUCCCGAGAGCAGACUAUGCCCUUCUGGUUGUGGGUUUGGGCACAGGGCAGGAGGGGGCUGUGGCUCUAACAGCUGGGCCGAAGCCUCACUGGCUCCCAGAAGUCCUGUCCAUCUUCUAGACCUCUACCCAGAAUGUGGCUCUGGGCCUGUCAUUCCCUCAGAGGCUCUGCGUUCUCCUCAUCCAGUUGUUAACUCCCUAGAAUCCUGGAGUCCGGAACACACUGUUUGGGUCACUCAGCCCAGGUCCUUUAUAGGAACCAGAACAUUUCAGAUUCAGGGACUAGAAAUCUAGUCAGCAAAUGGGCAACAUACAAACCCAGAGCUUAGGUCCGGUGGAAGCUCCACCCUUCUGCCCUCCCUUCAAACCGCCUGUGCCCUUCUUUGCUGCAGUUACUGUAACUUAAAACUUGCUUCCUCUGACAUGCAAAAUCAGGUUUUGGGAUGUCACCACAGCAGGAUACUUUCAAUUCUUAGCUCCUGCCCCACUCUCCAGGAUUACCCCUUUUGUCGUGAUCCACUGUAUAAUGAGAUAUGUAUUAAUUUGAAUUCUUUAGUUCUUUUUUUAAUCAUUUUGGAGAUUGAACGUAGGUCUUUCCCCACGCUUGGCAAGCAUCCUACCGUUGAGCCACAUCUCCAGUCCAUGUCAAUGUCUCUCUAAUCUGUUUGCUGUUUGAAAGCCGAAGUCCUCCGGUCCUUGCUGUGUGGUGAUCUCAUGACACGUCUGCCAGAUGUCACCCACACAUGGCCAGGGUGCCCAGCUGACUCUACUCUCCUGUGUUUGCUUACCAGUAGAGUCUGUUUUGGCUUUUGCCUCCUCUUACAUGCAGGUAGCUCCUGCCUUACUCUCUCCUGCUCUUCCCACGAUGCUGUCUUUUUAGAUGGUCGAUUAGAGAAGUCCUGGGUGGCUGUAUGAUGGGCCAGCGAAGGAUGGGAAUUCAAGUCUACUUGAAUUAGGUAAACUGACAGAUUUAGGGUCCUUAGGAUUAAGUCUGUGUCUGUUUCUCUUUAGUUCUCUUCAGGAUUUAAAAACCAAAGCCAGUUCCUAACACCACAUUUCAACACUUU
rnacentral:lncRNA from 1 species